rnacentral:rRNA from 1 species
CGGGUGAGUAACGCGUGAGGAACCUGCCUCAAAGAGGGGGGACAACAGUUGGAAACGACUGCUAAUACCGCGUAAGCCCACGGCUCGGCAUCGAGCAGAGGGAAAAGGAGCAAUCCGCUUUGAGAUGGCCUCGCGUCUGAUUAGCUAGUUGGUGAGGUAAUGGCCCACCAAGGCGGCGAUCGGUAGCCGGACUGAGAGGUUGAACGGCCACAUUGGGACUGAGACACGGCCCAG